GUAUAUUUAAGUUGUUGCAGUUAAAAAAGCUCGUAGUUGGAUUUUGGUUAAGAGGGCGCGGUCGGCCGUUGGUCUGUACUGCGUUGUCUUGACUUCCUGAUGAGGACAUGCUCUUGGUUAACGCUGAGACAUGGAGUCAUCGUGGUUACUUUGAAAAAAUUAGAGUGUUCAAGCGGGCUUACGCUUGAAUAUUAGCAUGGAAUAACACUAUAGGACUCCUGUCCUAUCUCGUUGGUCUCGGGAUGGGAGUAAUGAUUAAGAGGAACAGUUGGGGGCAUUCGUAUUUCAUUGUCAGAGGUGAAAUUCUUGGAUUUAUGAAAGACGAACUUCUGCGAAAGCAUUUGCCAAGGAUGUUUUCAUUAAUCAAGAACGCAAGUUGGGGGCUCGAAGAUAGUUAGAUACCAUCCUAGUCUCAACCAUAAACGAUGCCGACUAGGGAUUGGUGGGAUGUUAAUUGAUGACUUCAC
rnacentral:rRNA from 1 species